UUUUUUUUUUUUUUUUUAAAUUGACUGGGUAAAAAUUAAAUGGAAUAGUUGUUAAUUAAAAUAUAAUGAAUGCUUAACAUUAAGAAUUAUUUAACUUACAAUAUAUUGAUGACCUAAAAUUAAAAAACUUCUCAAAUUUAUCUUCAAUUUAAUUUUUCCAAAGUAAUCAUGAAAAAUAAACUUAAUUAAAAUUGUAGAUCAAAUAAAAUAAAUGGUACGAUUUUAAUUUGUAAAAGAAUUUUUUUUUUUAAUUUGAGUAUGAUGAAAUCAUAACAAUUGAG
rnacentral:misc_RNA from 1 species